AUUGAACGCUGGCGGCAGGCCUAACACAUGCAAGUCGAGCGAGCGGCGGCCGGGGGAGUAAUGUCUGGGAAACUGCCGGAUGGGGGGGGAUAACUACUGGAAACGGUAGCUAUUACCCCAUACCAUCCAGUUUGCCCAGAUGGGAUUGGCUGGUGGGUGGGGUAACGGCUCACCUAGGCGACGAUCCCUAGCUGGUCUGAGAGGAUGACCAGCCACACUGGAACGGAGACACGGUCCAGACUCCUACGGGAGGCAGCAGUGGGGAAUAUGGCACAAUGGGCGCAAGCCUGAUGCAGCCAUGCCGCGUGUGUGAAGAAGGCCUUCGGGUUGUAAAGCACUUUCAGCGGGGAGGCGUUACCCGCAGAAGAAGCACCGGCUAACUCCGUGCCAGCAGCCGCGGUAAUAC
rnacentral:rRNA from 1 species